GGAAGACAGUCGUCAUAGCGAACCGUUGACGUCGCAGGUCCAGCGGCCAGCUGUUACAAAUCGCGUCACUCCCUCGCCAGCUGAUCGCAGACGCCGGUAAACGUGAGAGGAGGAACGGAGAAAUGACUUUAACAUUGAGGUUUAUAGUGGACCUGGAUGACUUGUGACUUUUGUUGAAUAUUGACUGACCUACAGCAGUUCUUCUCUGGCAAACUUUAUGACCGUGACCUGAUGCUAAAGCUGCCAGCUGAAGAACUGUUGUGGUCAGCUCUGUCCGUCUGAAACCGCUUCCGACCCUUUCCACUUUGGAUCAACUCCACUGUAAAUCUUUCUCUGUGGGACGUUGCCUAGAUUUUAGUGUCUUGUCAGAGGUUGACUUGUUUCUUUAUAGGUGGAUCUUUAGUGUUUCACUUUUUUUUUUUUUUUACAAAUCUGUGACAUUUAAAAAUUGAAUUAGUAAAAUGUAUGCAUUUCUGAAUUAAAUAUUUUGAAGAAAAUAGCAUUUUCUUUUUAGAUAUAGGUGAGUAAAGUUGACAAAACUGUCAUUGUUAAUCCAUUUAGAUUUUCUUUGCUACAAUAAAAUGUUUAAAGCUAA